rnacentral:rRNA from 1 species
GACGAACGCUGGCGGCGUGCCUAACACAUGCAAGUCUCGGGAGAAAAGGGUAGCAAUAUCCUGAGUAAACCGGCGCAAGGGUGAGUAACGCGUAGGCAACCUGCCUUUUGGACGGGAAUAACUUCGAGAAAUCGAGGCUAAUACCCGAUGAUAUUUUGCUGCGGCAUUGCAGCAAGAUCAAAGUUUGCAAGAGCGCCAAAAGAUGGGCCUGCGUCCCAUUAGGUAGUUGGCGGGGUAACAGCCCACCAAGCCGACGAUGGGUAGCUGGUCUGAGAGGACGAUCAGCCACACUGGAACUGAGACACGGUCCAGACUCCUACGGGAGGCAG